CCUACGGGAGACAGCAGUGGGGAAUAUUGGGCAAUGGGCGCAACCCUGACCCAGCAACGCCGCGUGAAGGAAGAAGGCUUUCGGGUUGUAAACUUCUUUUGACAGGGAAGAGUAGAAGACGGUACCUGUCGAAUAAGCCACGGCUAACUACGUGCCAGCAGCCGCGGUAAUACGUAGGUGGCAAGCGUUGUCCGGAUUUACUGGGUGUAAAGGGCGUGUAGGCGGGUUGAGAAGUCAGAUGUGAAAUCCUGCGGCUUAACCGCAGAACUGCAUUUGAAACUGUUGAUCUUGAGUACUGGAGAGGCAGACGGAAUUCCUAGUGUAGCGGUGAAAUGCGUAGAUAUUAGGAGGAACACCAGUGGCGAAGGCGGUCUACUGGACAGCAACUGACGGUGAGGCGCGAAAGCGUGGGGAGCAAACAGGAUUAGAUACCCUUGUAGUC
rnacentral:rRNA from 1 species